AGUCGAGCGGAGAUGAGGUGCUUGCACCUUAUCUUAGCGGCGGACGGGUGAGUAAUGCUUAGGAAUCUGCCUAUUAGUGGGGGACAACAUUCCGAAAGGAAUGCUAAUACCGCAUACGUCCUACGGGAGAAAGCAGGGGAUCUUCGGACCUUGCGCUAAUAGAUGAGCCUAAGUCGGAUUAGCUAGUUGGUGGGGUAAAGGCCUACCAAGGCGACGAUCUGUAGCGGGUCUGAGAGGAUGAUCCGCCACACUGGGACUGAGACACGGCCCAGACUCCUACGGGAGGCAGCAGUGGGGAAUAUUGGACAAUGGGGGGAACCCUGAUCCAGCCAUGCCGCGUGUGUGAAGAAGGCCUUAUGGUUGUAAAGCACUUUAAGCGAGGAGGAGGCUACUGAGACUAAUACUCUUGGAUAGUGGACGUUACUCGCAGAAUAAGCACCGGCUAACUCUGUGCCAGCAGCCGCGGUAAUACAGAGGGUGCGAGCGUUAAUCGGAUUUACUGGGCGUAAAGCGUGCGUAGGCGGCUUUUUAAGUCGGAUGUGAAAUCCCCGAGCUUAACUUGGGAAUUGCAUUCGAUACUGGGAAGCUAGAGUAUGGGAGAGGAUGGUAGAAUUCCAGGUGUAGCGGUGAAAUGCGUAGAGAUCUGGAGGAAUACCGAUGGCGAAGGCAGCCAUCUGGCCUAAUACUGACGCUGAGGUACGAAAGCAUGGGGAGCAAACAGGAUUAGAUACCCUGGUAGUCCAUGCCGUAAACGAUGUCUACUAGCCGUUGGGGCCUUUGAGGCUUUAGUGGCGCAGCUAACGCGAUAAGUAACCGCCUGGGGAGUACGGUCGCAAGACUAAAACUCAAAUGAAUUGACGGGGGCCCGCACAA
rnacentral:rRNA from 1 species